GGAGAUGUAGCUUAGUGGCAGAGCACUUGUUUAGCAUACAAAGGUCCUGGGUUCAAUCCCUAGUACUUCCC
rnacentral:tRNA from 1 species